AUUGAUGUGCCCAUUUGUAAUGUGUUGUUGUGGUAAAUCGGAGAAAUUAAGGAAGUUAUAAAUUAAAAGGAUAAUUGGAAAUUUAAUUUUUGUUUCGAUGAUUUCACGGCACGAGUGAUGUUAGUGAUAAAUCAUUCGUCCAUUGAAAGUAUUGAAUACUAAAAUUAGUUUUUUAGGCAAAUACAUACUAAUUCUCAUUUAUAUAUUUUUUCCGGUUUCCCGAUUUUAAAAAUAAUAAAUGAGGGCAUGAGCAGACGCAGAAUUUAUUGUUCAAGCGACAAGAAACCUUUUUACAACUUUGCUCUAAAUUAAUUAGGGGAGAAAAUAUUUCGAUAUAAAGAAAUAAAUAUGUCCCUACGGAUGCAUAACCUGUUCAACACCGGACACCCUCUAUAAUGACAGAUUUAAUUUGGUUAUGACCAUUCCAUUGUAAUGAUUCGUUUUUUAAAUUUAGCUUCCCCAUAAUGUUAUAAUUAUCACCAAUUCCAAUGCAAAUUUUAAUUAUAAUUUUUGCAGUAUUUUUUUGGAACAAUGCCGAGAAGAUCAGUUAGAAUUUUGUCGAUGCUCAAAAAUCCCGUCCAUCCGUAAGACAGCAUCCAGGAUGAAUAUGAUCUUCAAGACAUCGAACGUUGUCAAGAUGCCCUAAAUCCUGAAGAAAACCGAAUCGCACCAAUACAGACUACAGGGGAAAUUAUGGA